UACGUAGGGUGCAAGCGUUAUCCGGAAUUAUUGGGCGUAAAGAGCUCGUAGGCGGUUUGUCGCGUCUGCUGUGAAAACUGGAGGCUCAACCUCCAGCCUGCAGUGGGUACGGGCAAACUAGAGUGCGGUAGGGGAGAUUGGAAUUCCCGGUGUAGCGGUGAAAUGCGCAGAUAUCGGGAGGAACACCGGUGGCGAAGGCGGGUCUCUGGGCCGAUAUUGACGCUGAGGAGCGAAAGCGUGGGGAGC
rnacentral:rRNA from 1 species